UUAGCUAACGUCUGUUGUUCGAGAAGCUGGAAAUCGUCCGGAAACAUCACUAACUGAAGAAAAUCAGCCGCUUAAGUGAGGAGUUCAAGAUAUAAAAGACACAAAAAAGAAUACCUCUGAACAACUUGGCACAUUUCAAUGAUCUGACCAUGAGACGGAGCCCGACGAGACCCCUGAUUCUCAAAAGAAGAAAACUGCCUCUUCAUCAAAAUGCGACGGAUUCACAGCCUGGAGAAUCAGGCUCCAAAGAUCCGUCAAUACCAGCUGCCGCUCAGAGCUUUCCUGGUGGUAUCUGCAUCAUGGACCAUCCAUCCAAGUCUGAUACUCGGUUGGUAUACUUUCCCGAAACAGCAGAUCUUCAAAGUGUUAUUGGGGCCCUCACAGCUAAAGGCAAUGAAUGCGGUGCCCAGGGCCCAAACAAGUUCAUUCUUCUGAGUGGGAGUGGCAACAAGUGGGACUAUGGACCUGAUCCUCAGUCUGCUGCUGAAGCGGCUGCUACAAGGAGUACAGAAGGACAUAAAGUCAAAGCUGAAACUACACGCAGUUUCCCAGGUGACAAACUUCUAACUGAAAUUAAACCAUAGAAUAAGGAUGUCAAUUACAGUCCUUUAGAUGACAGCCUUGGUAGGAUGAGCACAUGCGCUUUGGAGCCAAAUUCUACAAAGCAGCUCAGCAGCAAGGAGAACCAAAAACCUUUACCACAGACUU